CGCUCUCCUAAAAGAAUCCAAUGGUAUUUUAUGUCAAUUAUGAAUGUAGACGAUGAUGCGGUAUUUUGAAAAUAAUCAAAAUCCGAAAUAUCGAUUAUUUUUUGGGCGAAGUGUUGGGCUAUUAUCCAAAUAUCGGUCUAUGGAACUUGUAAAAAUUUAACCAAAUUUUUACUGAAGCCUUUUCCUCAAUCAAACAUGAAUUCAGAAGCGAAGUAGUAAAACGAAUGAUCUCCCGACUGCGAGACAAGUCAAUUAUCUCCUUUUGGUAUUUCGCUACUCAAUUUUACGGAAAUUGUAUUCAUUAUUAUUAUUACUAUUCGCCGGAAACAUUUGUGUAGUGUUUGAAUCGUGUCGGAAACAGGAAAAAUUUAGAAUUCCUUUUAGUUGAAUAAAAAGGGAUGAAAAUUAAGAAAAAAGUCGAACCCUCCCGUGCAGAUGACGGUACAGAAUUCCACUUUGAAGGGUCCCGAACACAUUGCUUCCUGUAUGAUUUAACAGAUAUCUGUACGGGGAAUCUAAGGGUUCAGUAAUCAUAUCGCCAUAUCGCUCGAAUGUAUCGUGAGCGAAAAAUUGAGAAAAGUUUUGACAGUGGAACCAGCCCAUGUAUAUCGGAUCCAUUCGGAGGAUAGCUAUAUCGAACCAUUGGUUGCUUUUGAAUUUCCCAUGGGCGACAUCUUCGUUGGGAACGUAUUCAGGAGCAUUCUUCACAUGGAGGGCAUUAUAUUCAAUAAUUUGUUCAUACCUGCGUCAACAUGAUGGAUCCCUGCAGUAUGGUAGAACUGUUGAUGGUAGGCAUCAAAGGAAACAAAUUUGUCAUGUUCUUGUCUGGUUUAUACUCUGUGUGAUACGCCAGGACUUGAACAAGUAGAAGUUUUGCAUUAGAGAACUCUGAAUGCAAGAGGAAACAAAGUAUUGUCCAUCCGUAAUGGAUCUUCAUUGUCGAAGCUUUCUGGCUUUCGGUGAUGAUAAAGAAGACUAACUAUGAUUAAGGCUAGAGCCAAAUGAGACUUUUAUCCCUCGGAAAACAUGAGAUAGUACGUGCACCAGCUUGUAUUGAACUUGAGAUUGAUAGUUGGACGCUGGAAGACAGUGGGAAGGCAUCAUGAAUUACUUUGUCGGGGUUGAUGUAGGGACUGGUAGCAUCCGGGCUGCACUUUUUGACGGCGAUGGAAAAUUAAUUAAGAUCUCCAACAGUCCCAUUGAGAUAUUUAACUCUGUUCUGGAUUUUUAUGAACAGUCCUCGGAGGACAUCUGGGAUUCUGUCAAGAAAGUUAUCAAGGUCUGGAUUUUUAGAGAAAUAACAGAUUUAUUUCCAUGGUUUUUUGAUGAAUGGAUGUUUGGAAAAUAUUUAUAGGGGCAUUCAUCGAAAAGUUGAUGAAUAUUUUUUUACGAACCCUAUAAAAAGUAAUUGUUUACUGUUUGAGCUUUU